GCCUCUUGAUUGAACCAUAAGAGGUCCAGCCUGCCCAGUGACAUUGUUCAACGGCCGCGGUAUCCUAACCGUGCGAAGGUAGCGUAAUCACUUGUCCCUUAAAUGGGGACUAGUAUGAAUGGCCACACGAAAGCUAUACUGUCUCCUUUUUCCAAUCAGUUAAACUAAUCUUCCCGUGAAGAAGCGGGAAUAAACAUACAAGACGAGAAGACCCUAUGGAGCUUUAAACAAUUGAAACACUUGCAUUUUAUUUUUAAGCCUACAUUAAACCUCACAUUUUGUUUCUAGUUUUAGGUUGGGGUGACCGCGGAGAAAAGACUAACCUCCACGCUGAAAGAGAUUUUCCCUCUAAACAAAAAGCUACAUCUUUAAGUAUUAAUAUAUUAACCUUAAUUGACCCA
rnacentral:rRNA from 1 species